AUGGCGGUGGUAUUGCGGUAUGUUGGUAAAUGUGGAAGUGCCAUAGCGACAUUAGUUGGCCUUACUCAUGUGAAGGAGACAACUUCCAAGUAUCUCAAUUCUGCCAUUGAUGAUUUAUUUGUAGAAUAUAAAUUAAGUUUCAAGCAAGUUAGAGGGCAAGCAUAUGACGGUGCGAGCAAUAUGCGAGCUGUUGUUCAGAAGCACAAAUUCAUUGGUGAUUUUUUUGAUAUGAUCUCAGUCUUGUUGAAUGUGGUCUCUAGAUCCUCACAGAGAAAGGACAUGAUUCGAGACAAACAUAAAGAACAAGAAACGAGUAGGAAAAAUUUUGUUUUCUGCAAUGUUCGCCAACAAUUAAAUCAAGAACUAGCUCUUCAAAGACAUGGAGACACUCGAUGGAGUUCUCACUACAAGACACUUAAGAGUUUGAUUGAUAUGUUCCCUAUAGUUGUCAAAGUGCUAGAAUAUGUGGAAGAAGAAGACAGGGAUGACACAAAUAGAAGCCAGGCAUGUGGUCUUCUUGUUUAUUUUCAUUCUUUUGAUUUUGUGUUCUACUUACAGCUUAUGUCCACUAUAUUGAUAAUCACAAACACAUUAUCAUUGGCUCUACAACGGAAGAAUCAGGACAUUGUGAAUGCUAUUAAUUGUGUGAAUUCAACCAAAGCCUCCUUGAAUGAUCUAAGGAGAAAUGGAUGGGAAUCUGUCCUACAUGAAGCAUAUGUAUUUUGUGACAAGCAUGACAUUUCCAAGUUGCAAAUGGAAGACCAAUAUGUGAACCCAAAGAAGCCACGGCAAAAAACAGGUAUCACUAAUAGGCAUCAUUAUGAAGUGGAUUGUUUUAAUGAUGUUAUUGAUUGGCUGCUUCAAGAACUUGAUAAUCGCUUUAAUGAGAAAAAUUCUGAACUACUUGUUUGCUCAGCGGCUUUGAGCCCAAAUGAAUCAUUUCAUGAUUUCAACUUAGAGCAUUUGAUGAGUCUAGCUAAACUUUAUCCAAAAGAUUUUGAUAAUGGAGAACUCAGGGACCUUAGGCAUCACCUUCAUCUUUACAUUGCUGAUGUCUGA
rnacentral:rRNA from 1 species